AGAGUUUGAUCCUGGCUCAGGAUGAACGCUGGCGGCGUGCUUAACACAUGCAAGUCGAACGGGAAAUAUUUCAUUGAGACUUCGGUGGAUUUGAUCUAUUUCUAGUGGCGGACGGGUGAGUAACGCGUGGGUAACCUGCCUUAUACAGGGGGAUAACAGUCAGAAAUGGCUGCUAAUACCGCAUAAGCGCACAGAGCUGCAUGGCUCAGUGUGAAAAACUCCGGUGGUAUAAGAUGGACCCGCGUUGGAUUAGCUAGUUGGUGGGGUAACGGCCCACCAAGGCGACGAUCCAUAGCCGGCCUGAGAGGGUGAACGGCCACAUUGGGACUGAGACACGGCCCAGACUCCUACGGGAGGCAGCAGUGGGGAAUAUUGCACAAUGGGGGAAACCCUGAUGCAGCGACGCCGCGUGAAGGAAGAAGUAUCUCGGUAUGUAAACUUCUAUCAGCAGGGAAGAUAGUGACGGUACCUGACUAAGAAGCCCCGGCUAACUACGUGCCAGCAGCCGCGGUAAUACGUAGGGGGCAAGCGUUAUCCGGAUUUACUGGGUGUAAAGGGAGCGUAGACGGUGUGGCAAGUCUGAUGUGAAAGGCAUGGACUCAACCUGUGGACUGCAUUGGAAACUGUCAUACUUGAGUGCCGGAGGGGUAAGCGGAAUUCCUAGUGUAGCGGUGAAAUGCGUAGAUAUUAGGAGGAACACCAGUGGCGAAGGCGGCUUACUGGACGGUAACUGACGUUGAGGCUCGAAAGCGUGGGGAGCAAACAGGAUUAGAUACCCUGGUAGUCCACACAGUAAACGAUGAAUACUCGCUGUUUGCGAUAUACAGUAAGCGGCCAAGCGAAAGCAUUAAGUAUUCCACCUGGGGAGUACGCCGGCAACGGUGAAACUCAAAGGAAUUGACGGGGGCCCGCACAAGCGGAGGAACAUGUGGUUUAAUUCGAUGAUACGCGAGGAACCUUACCCGGGCUUAAAUUGCAACAGAAUAUAUUGGAAACAGUAUAGCCGUAAGGCUGUUGUGAAGGUGCUGCAUGGUUGUCGUCAGCUCGUGCCGUGAGGUGUCGGCUUAAGUGCCAUAACGAGCGCAACCCUUAUCUUUAGUUACUAACAGGUUAUGCUGAGGACUCUAGAGAGACUGCCGUCGUAAGAUGUGAGGAAGGUGGGGAUGACGUCAAAUCAGCACGGCCCUUACGUCCGGGGCUACACACGUGUUACAAUGGGGGGUACAGAAGGCGGCUACCUGGUGACAGGAUGCUAAUCCCAAAAACCUCUCUCAGUUCGGAUCGAAGUCUGCAACCCGACUUCGUGAAGCUGGAUUCGCUAGUAAUCGCGCAUCAGCCAUGGCGCGGUGAAUACGUUCCCGGGCCUUGUACACACCGCCCGUCAAGCCAUGAAAGCCGGGGGUACCUGAAGUACGUAACCGCAAGGAGCGUCCUAGGGUAAAACUGGUAAUUGGGGCUAAGUCGUAACAAGGUA
rnacentral:rRNA from 1 species